rnacentral:rRNA from 1 species
GCCUACGGGGGGCAGCAGUAGGGAAUAUUGCUCAAUGGGGGAAACCCUGAAGCAGCAACGCCGCGUGGAGGAUGAAGGUUUUCGGAUUGUAAACUCCUUUUGUUAGAGAAGAUAAUGACGGUAUCUAACGAAUAAGCACCGGCUAACUCCGUGCCAGCAGCCGCGGUAAUACGGAGGGUGCAAGCGUUACUCGGAAUCACUGGGCGUAAAGAGCGCGUAGGCGGGAUAGCAAGUCAGAUGUGAAAUCCUAUGGCUUAACCAUAGAACUGCAUUUGAAACUGUUAUUUUAGAGUAUGGUAGAGGUG